UGGCUGCAUUCUCGAUGACUACAGUAAAGUAAGCGUCCACUGAGGGGCGAUAGAGAGGCCAAAACAGCCAAUCAGACGAGGAAUUAUCCUAACGCAGAGGUUGUAUGAGCUUUGUUAAUUACCUGUGUGUUUGCCCAUCGCCAUGGCCCGUAUUCAUUAACCUAGCGGUACAUUACAACGUUUUCAUCUGCUUUAACGAAGAGUGAUUUGAAGAUCGGCCCAACUGUCACAAAGGUUGAAGAUAAGAAAUACUACGAAUACCAGGAACCAACCCAGUCAGAGCAGAUGCUUUCAUGGACGAGGACACACACUGGGAACUAUCGUAACAAGGAUCCCUAGAAGAGGUUCAAUGAUUAAACGGAUCUAUUGGUUAAAAGCACCAUUACAUGAAAUGCUGUUUUGUCUUC